AGUAGUUGAAGUUGGGAGGUUAUAGCUGGGUUUAGCGGGCAGUAGUUGAAGUUGGGAGGUUAUAGCUGGGUUUAGCAGGCUGUAGUUGAAGUUGGGAGGUUACAGUGGGGUUUAGUGGGUAGUUGAAGUUGGGAGGUUACAGCUGGGUUUAGUGGGCAGUAGUUGAAGUUGGGAGGUUACAGUGGGGUUUAGUGGGCAGUAGUUGAAGUUGGGAGGUUAUAGCUGGGUUUAGUGGGCAGUAGUUGAAGUUGGGAGGUUACAGCUGGGUUUAGUGGGCAGUAGUUGAAGUUGGGAGGUUAUAGCUGGGUUUAGCGGGCAGUAGUUGAAGUUGGGAGGUUAUAGCUGGGUUUAGUGGGCAGUAGUUGAAGUUGGGAGGUUACAGCUGGGUUUAGUGGGCAGUAGUUGAAGUUGGGAGGUUAUAGCUGGGUUUAG